UUUUUGUUUUAAAACAAAAGAUUCAUCGUUGAUUUUGUAGGAACGGGCAGCUCUCACAGCUUCGGAUCCUUAUAGCUAUAUAGAGAAACGGAAACCGAUUCCUGAUCCCCAGGAUAAUGGAUUGAUAUACGGCAACAGGAAGAUAUCUGAGAGUAAAACAGAGGAAUAAUGUGCUAUAUUACCAUUUUAUAAGUUUGAUUUGUUUUUUCCACAAUUUUCCG